CGAACGGGUGAGUAACACGUGGGCAAUCUGCCCUUCACUCUGGGACAAGCCCUGGAAACGGGGUCUAAUACCGGAUAACACUCCUGCCUGCAUGGGCGGGGGUUAAAAGCUCCGGCGGUGAAGGAUGAGCCCGCGGCCUAUCAGCUUGUUGGUGGGGUAAUGGCCCACCAAGGCGACGACGGGUAGCCGGCCUGAGAGGGCGACCGGCCACACUGGGACUGAGACACGGCCCAGACUCCUACGGGAGGCAGCAGUGGGGAAUAUUGCACAAUGGGCGAAAGCCUGAUGCAGCGACGCCGCGUGAGGGAUGACGGCCUUCGGGUUGUAAACCUCUUUCAGCAGGGAAGAAGCGAAAGUGACGGUACCUGCAGAAGAAGCGCCGGCUAACUACGUGCCAGCAGCCGCGGUAAUACGUAGGGCGCAAGCGUUGUCCGGAAUUAUUGGGCGUAAAGAGCUCGUAGGCGGCUUGUCACGUCGGAUGUGAAAGCCCGAGGCUUAACCUCGGGUCUGCAUUCGAUACGGGCUAGCUAGAGUGUGGUAGGGGAGAUCGGAAUUCCUGGUGUAGCGGUGAAAUGCGCAGAUAUCAGGAGGAACACCGGUGGCGAAGGCGGAUCUCUGGGCCAUUACUGACGCUGAGGAGC
rnacentral:rRNA from 1 species